AACCUCCUACGGGACGCAGCAGUGGGGAAUAUUGGACAAUGGGGGAAACCCUGAUCCAGCGACGCCGCGUGAGUGAAGAAGUAUUUCGGUAUGUAAAGCUCUAUCAGCAGGGAAGAAAAUGACGGUACCUGACUAAGAAGCCCCGGCUAACUACGUGCCAGCAGCCGCGGUAAUACGUAGGGGGCAAGCGUUAUCCGGAUUUACUGGGUGUAAAGGGAGCGUAGACGGCGAUGCAAGCCAGAUGUGAAAGCCCGCGGCUCAACUGCGGUAGUGCAUUUGGAACUGUAUGGCUGGAGUGCAGGAGG
rnacentral:rRNA from 1 species